GGAUGCGAUCAUUACCAGCACUAAUGCACCGGAUCCCAGCAGAACUCCAAAGUUUAAGCGUGUGGGCUGAGAUAGUAUAGGUAUGGUUGAACCCCUGGGCAAGUCCUCGUUUGCUAUCC
rnacentral:rRNA from 1 species